CCGGCGCACGGGUGCGUAACGCGUAUAGAACCUACCUUUUACAGGGGAAUAGCCCAGAGAAAUUUGGAUUAAUGCCCCAUAGUAUUAUAGAGUGGCAUCAUUUUAUAAUUAAACAUUUAUGGGUAAAAGAUGGCUAUGCGUUCUAUUAGCUAGUUGGUAAGGUAACGGCUUACCAAGGCAACGAUAGAUAGGGGUCCUGAGAGGAUGAUCAGCCACACUGGAACUGAGACACGGUCCAG
rnacentral:rRNA from 1 species